rnacentral:rRNA from 1 species
UACAGAGGUCCCAAGCGUUGUUCGGAUUCAUUGGGCGUAAAGGGUGCGUAGGUGGCGCGCUAAGUCAGGUGUGAAAUUUCGGAGCUUAACUCCGAAACUGCAUUUGAUACUGGCGUGCUCGAGGACUGGAGAGGAGACUGGAAUUUACGGUGUAGCAGUGAAAUGCGUAGAGAUCGUAAGGAAGACCAGUGGCGAAGGCGGGUCUCUGGACAGUUCCUGACACUGAGGCACGAAGGCCAGGGGAGCAAACGGG